ACAACAACAACAAAUUAUUUUAGAGGAAACAAAAUAAAUACUCAUUUAAUAAUAUUAGAUUAUAAACUAGAACUUAAUGCAACUUACUGAUAUAAAAACACAAUCAUGAUUUGUCAAUGUAAAAACUCAACAUUUCAAGUUUUUACUUAUAUUCACCGUGUGAUUUUACAUCUAAACGAGAGUCAAGUUGAAAACAACAAGGACAAGUUGAUAAAAGAUAAUCCGGUUUAUGAAUCUCGCAUGCAGCUCAUCCGGGCACAAUCCCAAAAUGCAAAUUCGGUGAAAUAAGUGCAUCGCAGCGCCAUCUCUGUGUUAUUUAAAAUGUCCAAAGGUAAUCAGCUUGUUUGUAUACGAGUAGUUGGCUAGUCAAAGAGAAACUUAAAUUAAUCUGUACGAGUGCUAAUAAUUCAUGAGUCAAAUAUACCAAUCGAAUACAUUUUGUACGAAAACGUUCGUUUUUUUUUUUUAUUUGUUUCUUUCCCAAAAACAUUACUGCAGUAUUAUCAA